rnacentral:rRNA from 1 species
UUACUAGAGUAGCACUCGCAUAUCAAUAAGCGGAGGAAAAGAAACUAACAAGGAUUCCCCUAGUAACGGCGAGUGAAGCGGGAAGAGCUCAAAUUUGAAAUCUUAAAGGGUUUCCCUUUACGAAUUGUAGUUUAAAGAAAUGUUUUCUGUUGAGGUUUUGGUAAAAGUUCUCUGGAAUAGGACAUCAUAGAGGGUGAGAAUCCCGUAUUUGGACCUUUACUUUCAACUUUGUGAUACACUUUCAAAGAGUCGGAUUGUUUGGGAAUGCAGUCCAAAAUGGGUGGUAAAUUUCAUCUAAAGCUAAAUAUUGGCGAGAGACCGAUAGCGAACAAGUACCGUGAGGGAAAGAUGAAAAGAACUUUGAAAAGAGAGUUAAACAGUACGUGAAAUUGUCAAAAGGGAAGCGUUUGACACCAGUGUUGUUUUUCUGAAAAUCAAUUAAAGAACUGUUUAUGCUAAGUUGUUUAGACUUUAUCAGCUAACUGUUUAGUUUUGAGCUUUUCUUUAAUGCACUUUUCAGUUAACAAGUCAACAUCAAUUUCUUUUGCUGUAAAAAAGCUUGAGGAAGGUGGCUUGAGAUUCGUCUUAAGUGUUUAUAGCCUCUUGCCUAUGCAGUCGGAGAGAUUGAGGUCUGCAGCGUAGAUCCUUCGGGGCUAAAUGCAUUUGUGCUAAGUUAUAACAUUUUAUAGACAACUUGUUGACUAUGAUUUGUCUUGUAGCUUACUCGCUUAUGUUAUUUUACCUACGCUUAGGAUGUUGAUAUCGCGCUCUCACUG